GACGAACGCUGGCGGCGUGCUUAACACAUGCAAGUCGAACGGAAAGGCCUCUUUCGGGGGGUACUCGAGUGGCGAACGGGUGAGUAACACGUGAGUAACCUGCCCUUGACUUUGGGAUAACUUCAGGAAACUGGGGCUAAUACCGGAUAGGAGCUCCUGCUGCAUGGUGGGGGUUGGAAAGCUUCGGCGGUUGGGGAUGGACUCGCGGCUUAUCAGCUUGUUGGUGGGGUAGUGGCUUACCAAGGCUUUGACGGGUAGCCGGCCUGAGAGGGUGACCGGCCACAUUGGGAAUGAGAUACGGCCCAGACUCCUACGGGAGGCAGCAGUGGGGAAUAUUGCACAAUGGGUGGAAGCCUGAUGCAGCAACGCCGUGUGCGGGAUGACGGCCUUCGGGUUGUAAACCGCUUUCGCUCAUGACGAAGCUUUGUGUGACGGUAGUGGGUAAAGAAGCACCGGCUAACUACGUG
rnacentral:rRNA from 1 species